AUUAACUUAAAUGAACUUACUCUGUGUGAAAUGAUAGGGGUUGACUACUCCUUCCUCUGUCCGCCAUACAUACAGCAUCUGUAAGGUCCCUCAGUCUAGUAGUGAAUGACCACUCCUUCCUCUGUCCCCCAUACAUACAGCAUCUGUAAGGUCCCUCAGUCUAGUAGUGAAUGACCACUCCUUCCUCUGUCCCCCAUACAUACAGCAUCUGUAAGGUCCCUCAGUCUAGUAGUGAAUGACCACUCCUUCCUCUGUCCCCCAUACAUACAUACAGCAUCUGUAAGGUCCCUCAGUCUAGUAGUGAAUGACCACUCCUUCCUCUGUCCCCCAUACAUACAGCAUCUGUAAGGUCCCUCAGUCUAGUAGUGAAUGACCACUCCUUCCUCUGUCCCCCAUACAUACAUACAGCAUCUGUAAGGUCCCUCAGUCUAGUAGUGAAUGACCACUCCUUCCUCUGUCCCCCAUACAUACAGCAUCUGUAAGGUCCCUCAGUCUAGUAGUGAAUGACCACUCCUUCCUCUGUCCCCCAUACAUACAGCAUCUGUAAGGUCCCUCAGUCUAGUAGUGAAUGACCACUCCUUCCUCUGUCCCCCAUACAUACAGCAUCUGUAAGGUCCCUCAGUCUAGUAGUGAAUGACCACUCCUUCCUCUGUCCCCCAUACAUACAGCAUCUGUAAGGUCCCUCAGUCUAGUAGUGAAUGACCACUCCUUCCUCUGUCCCCCAUACAUACAGCAUCUGUAAGGUCCCUCAGUCUAGUAGUGAAUGACCACUCCUUCCUCUGUCCCCCAUACAUACAGCAUCUGUAAGGUCCCUCAGUCUAGUAGUGAAUGACCACUCCUUCCUCUGUCCCCCAUACAUACAGCAUCUGUAAGGUCCCUCAGUCUAGUAGUGAAUGACCACUCCUUCCUCUGUCCCCCAUACAUACAGCAUCUGUAAGGUCCCUCAGUCUAGUAGUGAAUGACCACUCCUUCCUCUGUCCCCCAUACAUACAGCAUCUGUAAGGUCCCUCAGUCUAGUAGUGAAUGACCACUCCUUCCUCUGUCCCCCAUACAUACAGCAUCUGUAAGGUCCCUCAGUCUAGUAGUGAAUGACCACUCCUUCCUCUGUCCCCCAUACAUACAGCAUCUGUAAGGUCCCUCAGUCUAGUAGUGAAUGACCACUCCUUCCUCUGUCCCCCAUACAUACAGCAUCUGUAAGGUCCCUCAGUCUAGUAGUGAAUGACCACUCCUUCCUCUGUCCCCCAUACAUACAGCAUCUGUAAGGUCCCUCAGUCUAGUAGUGAAUGACCACUCCUUCCUCUGUCCCCCAUACAUACAGCAUCUGUAAGGUCCCUCAGUCUAGUAGUGAAUGACCACUCCUUCCUCUGUCCCCCAUACAUACAGCAUCUGUAAGGUCCCUCAGUCUAGUAGUGAAUGACCACUCCUUCCUCUGUCCCCCAUACAUACAGCAUCUGUAAGGUCCCUCAGUCUAGUAGUGAAUGACCACUCCUUCCUCUGUCCCCCAUACAUACAUACAGCAUCUGUAAGGUCCCUCAGUCAAGUAUUGAAUUUCAAGCACAGAUUCAACUACAAAGACCAGGAAGUUUUUCACUGGCCUUCUUAUGAGG